rnacentral:rRNA from 1 species
CUCAGUUCAGGAUCCUGAGUACGGCGGGACACGUGAAACCCCGUCGGAAUCCGCGAGGACCAUCUCGCAAGGCUAAAUACUCCCUAGUGACCGAUAGUGAACCAGUACCGUGAGGGAAAGGUGAAAAGCACCCCGGGAGGGGAGUGAAACAGUUCCUGAAACCAUGUGCCUACAAGCUGUCGGAGCACAUUUACGUGUGACGGCGUGCCUCUUGCAGAAUGAACCGGCGAGUCAUGAUUGCGUGCAAGGUUAAGGUGGAAAAACCGGAGCCGCAGCGAAAGCGAGUCUGAAAUGGGCGUACGAAGUACGCAGUUAUGUACCCGAAACCAGGUGACCUACCCAUGUCCAGGUUGAAGGUGCGGUAAAACGCACUGGAGGACCGAACCCGUAUCAGUUGAAAAUGGUUGGGAUGAGGUGUGGGUAGCGGUGAAAUUCCAAACGAACUUGGAGAUAGCUGGUUCUCUCCGAAAUCUCUUUAGGGGGAGCCUCGAGGUUUAGAAUCAUGGAGGUAGAGCACUGUUUGGACUAGGGGCCCGUCAUGGGUUACUGACUUCAGAUAAACUCCGAAUGCCAUUGAUUUUUACUCGGGAGUCACACGGUGAGUGAUAAGAUCCAUCGUGGAAAGGGGAACAGCCCAGAUCAUCAGCUAAGGUCCCUAAAUAUAUGCUAAGUGGAAAAGGAUGUGGAAUUGCACAGACAACUAGGAUGUUGGCUCAGAAGCAGCCAUCAUUUAAAGAGUGCGUAAUAGCUCACUAGUCGAGUGACUCUGCGCCGAAAAUGUACCGGGGCUAAGCAUAUUACCGAAGCUAUGGAUGCAUCCAUUAGGAUGCGUGGUAGGAGAGCGUUCCAAGGGCGAUGAAGUCAGACCGUAAGGACUGGUGGAGCGCUUGGAAGUGAGAAUGCCGGUAUGAGUAGCGAAAGACAGGUGAGAAUCCUGUCCACCGAAUGACUAAGGUUUCCUGGGGAAGGCUCGUCCUCCCAGGGUUAGUCGGGACCUAAGUCGAGGCCGAGAGGCGUAGACGAUGGACAACAGGUUGAUAUUCCUGUACCAGUUGAUUGUGCUUGAGUGAUGGAGUGACGCAGAAGGCUAAGCGAUCCGGACGAUUGGAAGUGUCCGGCCAAGCAGCAAGUCAGUUGAUGAGUCAAAUGCUUAUCAGCG